rnacentral:rRNA from 1 species
AUGGGAGAUAUGAAUAAAAUUUUGUAUGACGAUGAUAAGAACUCCCAGCAUGUUAAUAGUAAUCGUAUGCGUGCUUUCCGUAACAUUGUUAAAUCUUGCGGGUUUUUUGAUCUAGGAUAUAGUGGGCCUGCUUAUACUUGGAAUAAUAAGCGAUAUUCUUCUGUGCCUAUCUAUGAAUGCCUAGAUAGAUGCUUGGUAAAUGCUGAAUGGUGUGCUUUAUAUCCGAUCACUAAUGUCUAUAAUAUGCCGAUCACUAUUAGUGACCACGCUCCCAUUCUUGUCUCCACUGAAGGUAAUUUCAGAAAGCCUUUGCAAACUUUUAAAUUUGAAAAUUGGUGGCUCAUGGAAAAGGAUUUUAAUGAAUAUGCCAAAGUUGCUUGGAAUAGUACUGCUCAUAGGCCUUUCUAUGCUAGAACUAACCACCUUGCAGGAUCACUCAAGAAAUGGUGA